UACAGAGGUCUCAAGCGUUGUUCGGAUUCAUUGGGCGUAAAGGGUGCGUAGGCGGCGCGGUAAGUCGGGUGUGAAAUCUCGGAGCUUAACUCCGAAACUGCAUUCGAUACUGCCGUGCUUGAGGACUGGAGAGGAGACAUGGAAUUUACGGUGUAGCGGUGAAAUGCGUAGAUAUCGUAAGGAAGACCAGUGGCGAAGGCGGGUCUCUGGACAGUUCCUGACGCUGAGGCACGAAGGUCAGGGGAGCAAACGGG
rnacentral:rRNA from 1 species